GGAACCGUGCCCGAAUGCCCAGGGACCACUUUGAUAGAGUGACAUAUAGGGGCUAAAAUCCCCUCGGUUCUU
rnacentral:tRNA from 2 species